rfam:Ictidomys tridecemlineatus contig095399, whole genome shotgun sequence.
GGGGAAAUAGUUCAGUUUUUAGAGUGCCUGCCUUGCAUGCAGAAGGCCCUGGGUUCAAUCCCCAGCACCA